AUGACAGACACCUUUGCCACCAGCUCCUGCUUCUCAGUGGUAGAAUUUCAACUAGAACUGGUGGGAAAACCACCCUUCUACUCCAGAGGAGACUGCAGAGUGGAGGCCUGACUUAUAUCCCAUAGGAUUAGCAGCACACAGAAGCGCUGCCCGUGUAAAAGACUGGAGUAAAAGGACCGGCUCUCCACAUGACACAUGCCUGUACUACACCGUGACUGGCAGGAGAAAAAUUGCACCUGAAAAAAAGAUCAGAAUUAUGCAGAGGAGGAAACUGGAUUUCUACUCUCUAAAGAGUUGAACAAUUCAACACAUCAGGUUGGGCCCAGUUGGGAGAGGUUGGAAAUGGGGGCACACGUUCUUGAAAAGACAUUUUCCUGGCGAGGCCCAGGGUAGAAAUGCAGACUUGAGGCUCUAUAGGCAAUCUGAUUUAUUUUUCCAGUUCCCCUCUAACAGAUGAAGCAGAGAGGACCCUCAGUAAAUGUUCGCUGAUUUCAAAUAAAUGGAUGAUGGGCUGGGCUGGCA
rnacentral:lncRNA from 1 species